GACGUAGGGCGCGAGCGUUGUCCGGAAUUAUUGGGCGUAAAGGGCUCGUAGGCGGUUUGUCGCGUCGGGAGUGAAAACUCAGGGCUCAACCCUGAGCGUGCUUCCGAUACGGGCAGACUAGAGGUAUUCAGGGGAGAACGGAAUUCCUGGUGUAGCGGUGGAAUGCGCAGAUAUCAGGAGGAACACCGGUGGCGAAGGCGGUUCUCUGGGAAUUACCUGACGCUGAGGAGCGAAAGCAUGGGGAGCGAACAGG
rnacentral:rRNA from 1 species